AUUGAACGCUGGCGGCAUGCCUAACACAUGCAAGUCGAGCGGAUGAAGGGAGCUUGCUCCUGGAUUCAGCGGCGGACGGGUGAGUAAUGCCUAGGAAUCUGCCUGGUAGUGGGGGAUAACGUCCGGAAACGGGCGCUAAUACCGCAUACGUCCUGAUGGAGAAAGUGGGGGAUCUUCGGACCUCACGCUAUCAGAUGAGCCUAGGUCGGAUUAGCUAGUUGGUGGGGUAAAGGCCUACCAAGGCGACGAUCCGUAACUGGUCUGAGAGGAUGAUCAGUCACACUGGAACUGAGACACGGUCCAGACUCCUACGGGAGGCAGCAGUGGGGAAUAUUGGACAAUGGGCGAAAGCCUGAUCCAGCCAUGCCGCGUGUGUGAAGAAGGUCUUCGGAUUGUAAAGCACUUUAAGUUGGGAGGAAGGGCAGUAAGUUAAUACCUUGCUGUUUUGACGUUACCAACAGAAUAAGCACCGGCUAACUUCGUG
rnacentral:rRNA from 1 species